GACGAACGCUGGCGGCGUGCUUAACACAUGCAAGUCGAACGGAAAGGCCCUGCUUUUGUGGGGUGCUCGAGUGGCGAACGGGUGAGUAACACGUGAGUAAACUGCCCUUGACUUUGGGAUAAAUUCAGGAAACUGGGGCGAAUACCGGAUAGGAGCUCCUGCUGCAUGGGGGGGGUUGGAAAGUUUCGGCGGUUGGGGAUGGACUCGCGGCUUAUCAGCUUGUUGGUGGGGUAGUGGCUUACCAAGGCUUUGACGGGUAGCCGGCCUGGGAGGGUGACCGGCCACAUUGGGACUGAGAUACGGCCCAGACUCCUACGGGAGGCAGCAGUGGGGAAUAUUGCACAAUGGGCGGAAGCCUGAUGCAGCAACGCCGCGUGCGGGAUGACGGCCUUCGGGUUGUAAACCGCUUUCGCCUGUGACGAAGCGUGAGUGACGGUAAUGGGUAAAGAAGCACCGGCUAACUACGUG
rnacentral:rRNA from 1 species